GUAUAGUCUGCCCGUUGCCGCAAAAUCGGCAACCGGGCGUGGAAACCCGUGUA
rnacentral:ncRNA from 1 species